GUCGAGGACCUCGCGGCUGCCGCCGCCUGCGCGCGCCUCACUUUGGACAGGAGGCCAGUUUUCCGCUCUGGGCUUCCUGCCCCUCCGUGUCAGACUCCUUGGCUGCUUCUCUCUCUCUUCCUAUCGUUCUCUCUCUGCCUCUCUCUUUUCCCCCCCUCUUUCUCCACCCCAUCUCUGGCCAAGGGAAACUGCUUGCAGUCAGGCUGAUCAUCGAUGUUUGAACUAAAUCGUGGGUUCCAAGGAGUGGGAGUUGUGAUUUGGAGCUUGAGCAAUAAGAG
rnacentral:lncRNA from 1 species